CUUUUCUCAGUGGUGCAAGAAGAUUAAGCCACAUUCUGGCUUUAGAGAGGCAUUUCUGAGAGAGAUGAAGGACACUUCGUUCCCCAGCCCCAACCUAAGCAUGUGACUGUACUCACCUUGUCAGAUGCUGUUGGAACCUGGCUGACA